rnacentral:tRNA from 1 species
UGAGAGGUGUCCGAGUGGUCGAAGGUGCAGACCUGGGAACGUCUGUGUGGGGCGACUCACCGAGAGUUCGAAUCUCUUCCUCUCAGCCA